rnacentral:rRNA from 1 species
GACGAACGCUGGCGGCGUGCUUAACACAUGCAAGUCGAACGGAAAGGCCCUUCGGGGUACUCGAGUGGCGAACGGGUGAGUAACACGUGGGUGAUCUGCCCUGCACUUUGGGAUAAGCCUGGGAAACUGGGUCUAAUACCGAAUAGGACCACGCGCUUCAUGGUGUGUGGUGGAAAGCUUUUGCGGUGUGGGAUGGGCCCGCGGUCUAUCAGCUUGUUGGUGGGGUAAUGGCCUACCAAGGCGACGACGGGUAGCCGGCCUGAGAGGGUGACCGGCCACACUGGGACUGAGAUACGGCCCAGACUCCUACGGGAGGCAGCAGUGGGGAAUAUUGCACAAUGGGCGCAAGCCUGAUGCAGCGACGCCGCGUGAGGGAUGACGGCCUUCGGGUUGUAAACCUCUUUCACCAGGGACGAAGCGUAAGUGACGGUACCUGGAGAAGAAGCACCGGCCAACUACGUG